rnacentral:lncRNA from 13 species
AUGUAUGUAACAAAAUGUAUUAAUUCAUCAACACCUAAACCCACCAAUAAAAUAAUACUGAAAUCGAAUCAUAAAUGUUUUAUCUAUCGCAUUUCAGGACAUCACAUCUCUUCUACAGUAUGUGUAAAAACAGGUCAGAGGCCUGCCUCGGAGCAGUAUGUGGGGGGUGACGGGGGCUCUACAGAUGUUGGGUCUUAAUUUGAACCAUUUCGUCGCAGGAAGAAAAUAAUCCUGCAGCAGGAGGAUUUGAAUGAAUAUUGAAUAUUUAGUAUUUGCAGCCAGGGGGCAGCUGGAAGCGGUGUUUGUAGGCUAUACAAUUCCGUACCUACAUUGUACCUUAGACUGAAAGUCCACUGGGCGUCAGUUCAAGUAGCCUAUGUAGGCUGUGAAUUCUUAUGUGGAUUAUAAUAAAUUGACAUUCGUAGUGGGGUAGAUGUAUUUUUAAUUUGGGAAAAUAUGUAUAUGUUUUAUAUAUCAAUUGUUUUAUUAUACACUGAGUAUACCAAACAUUAGGAGUACCUUCCUCAGGGCAUAGACUCUCCAAGGUGUCGAAAGCGUUCCACAUGCUGGCCCAUGUUGAAUCUAAUGCUUCCGACAGUUGUGUCAAGUUGGCUGGAUGUCCUUUGGGUGGUGGACCAUUCUUGAUCAACACGGGAAACUGUUGAGCAUGAACACCCCAGUAUUUUUUGUCUUGCCCAUUCACUCUCUGAAUAGCACACAUACAUAAUCCAUGUCUCAAUUGUCUCAACAACACAAAAGUCCUUCUUUAACCGGUCUCCUCCUCAUCAUCUACACUGAUUGAAGUGGAUUUCACAAGUUACAUCAAUAAGGGAUCAGUUUCACCUGGUCAGUUUAUGUCAUGGAAAGAACAGGUGUUCCUAAUGUUUAUUAUACUCAGUGUAUUUCAAGGUAAGCUGCCCUUUGACCCCUAUCUUCCCAACAAUGUUCUUCAAUUGAAGCUUAAAAAAAAUAUGAAAGGAAUGGGACUUCCCCACUCCUUAAUAAAAUAUCUUUAAUAAAGAUUAAAUAAUUGGACAAAUAAUAGAUUGUGAGCACACCUUUCAUUAUGCAACAAUGGAUAGGGUAACAGGUAGCUUACAGAAUGAUUUGAAAUGUAAUCAAAUAACCAGGGGCGCAACUUUGGUUUUAUAAAUGAGUGGGACAUAAUUACAAAACAAAAUGUACUGGAUAAACACUCCAAACAGCCUACCCGACCGCUCGGAGGAGUCUGCAUGGCCCUAAAGCACACCUGGCCUAAUUUUGUAUGACAUCCCAAUUAUAAAAUUGGGGGGGACAAAAAUGCAAUGUUCAGAUGUCCCCCUGUCCCCAUCCCCGUCCGAAUGUCCCCCGUGAAAGUUUCACCCCUGCAAAUAACUAUUGCUAGCACUAGAUUGUCAGCUGAUGCCUCCUUAAACCAUCAAUACAUUCUAAAUUCACCCGAACACGGCUGAUCUCAUGAUGCCAGUGUUACAUUACUCCAGUUUGCAAACAAAGUCUUUCAAUAUAUGUUUGCCCUCUAGUUGGAAUUAUCAUAACAAUUUAGUCCUUGUUAAACAGACUAAGCGUGAUUUAUAGUAUCUAUUUGACACGCAUAAAGUAUUUUCUCUUUCACCACAGCAAAUCCCCUGUGGAAAUUGACCCGAUACUUUGUAUGAAAGAUAACUAAUGUUGGUGUAGCUUACUGUUAUUAUUUUAUGUGUUUCCUAUUUAUGUUAUCCAUUAACAUAUGUUGAAGCGUGAUUCAUCACUCCAGAGAAAGCAUUUCCACUGCUCCAGAGUCCAAUGGCGGUGAACUUUACACCACUCCAGCCGACGCUUGGCAUUGCGCAUCUUAGGCUUGUGUGCGGCUGCUCAGCCAUGGAAACCCAUUUCAUGAAACUCCCGUUGAACAGUUCUUGUGCUGACUUUGCUUCCAGAGGCAGUUUGUAACUUGGUAGUGAGUAUUGCAAACGAGGACAGGCCAUUUUCACGCACUAUGUGCUUCAGCACUCAGUGGUGCUGUUCUGUGAGCUUGUGUGGCCUACCACUUCGUGGCUGAGCUGUUGUUGCUCCUAGACGUUUCUACUUCACAAUACCAGCACUUACAUUUGACCGGGGCAGCUCUAGCAGGGAAGAAAUUUGAGGAACUGACUUGUUGGAAAGGUGGCAUCCUAUGACGGUACCACGUUGAAAGUCACUGAGCUUGGGCCAUUCUACUGCCAAUGUUUGUCUAUGGAGAUUGCGUAUGUGCUCAAUUUUAUACACCUGUUAGCAACGGGUGUUGCUGAAAUGGCCAAAUCCACUAAUUUGAAUGGGUGUCCACAUACUUUUUGCCAUAUAGUGUAUUUGAAAGGGUACUCACCGGAUAGGAGUACACCAGGCUGGUUUCCAGAGAAACAGAUCCAAGAUUGACAAUAUUUUAUGGCUAUCAGAGGACAUCCUGAGAAAUGUCCAAAAUAAAAAUCUUGCUGUUUUAUUCGACAUAGAGAAAGCAUUCGACAAAACGUGGCAUAAAGUUACAGACAAUAACCUCCAACUCCCACAUCCAAUCAGAAACAUAAUCUCAAGCUUCCUCCAUAACCGCCAAAUAAAAGUUAAGGUGUCCACAGCCAUCUCUACACAUUUACUCCAGAAGCUGGUGUCCCCAAAGGUACAGUCCUCAGCCCACUCCUGUUCAUCAUCUCCAUCUCAGACAUUUACUACCCCCCAUCUUCCAUUGGACAGGUAGCACAAUUUGCUGAUGACCUAUGCCAUUGGACCAGCUCCAAGUGGCCACAGCUAGCCUCAAAGAUACUCACAAAGUGCAUAUAAAAAAAUAGAACACUGGUCAAACAACUGUCAAGUUAAAAUAAACCCCAAAAAGACAGUGCAUCUUAUUUACCAAAAACACAAACCUAUAACUAAAGAAACUCGUAACCCUAUUACAUGCUGACCACGCCACUUGCGUCGCUUGCGUGAGCUUGACAAAAUAAAUGUACACAUACAUGUUAUUCAAUCAUUGCAUCCACAGUGCUAGCUAGCGUCUGCGUGGCCAGGCGCUAAAAUAGAAAUUGGUUCUAUUUGUGACGUUCAACGCGCUGAAAGUCCGGCCUCUCCCAUCUCCUCAUUGGUUUUAGUAGCGUAUACCCACGUGCCUUCUACUCAUUGGUUUUUAGGAGCAUAUACCCAUGUGAGUGAUUGAAAGAUGAACUUAGGUCCACACUGGUCGGUUGUAGUAAUUCUGUAAAGUUGGUUGCCAAUCACAAAAUAAAGUCCAAAGAAGAAAAAGAAGCCUGAAGGAAGGAGGAGAGACGAAGAAAAACAAAUUCUGCUUAUCGUUUCAUCUGUGGAUUAAUUGUCAGAGUAGAGGACCUUAUGCAUUUCAGGUAAAAUAACAACCCAAUGUUUAUAUACUAGGACAAAUUAGCUAGCAACAGGAAGCUAGCUAGCUAAAUUGCCAUAAAUGUUUAAUGCUUUUUGACUGGUCCCCAAAUGAAUAUUAUUGGUUCAGAGUUUGUUUUUAUAUUUCAACCUGCAUGUCCUGAUUGCUUCUGGUGUGGGUAAACAAAAUCAACUUACGCGCACGCCUGCGCUUUAGUCAGCAUGUAAAAAUGUACAACAAAACAAUAAACAUUUAAAAAUAUGUUCCUGGGGGUAACAUUUCAAAGAAACCUGCUGUGGACCACGCAUAUUGGGAACAUUGAGAGAGAAGGACAGAAUAAUUAUUUGAAAGCACUUUGUGGAAAUAAACAUGGAGCAGCACCCAAAACUAUUUUAU